AAAGCUCGUAGUUGGAUUUCGGGAUGGGCCAGUCGGUCUGCCGUAAGGUAUGUUACUGGCUGGUCUGUCCUUCUUCGCAAAGACUGCGUGUGCCCUUGAUUGUGUGUGCGUAGGAUUUGCGACGUUUACUUUGAAAAAAUUAGAGUGUUCAAAGCAGGCUGACCGCUUGAAUACAUGAGCAUGGAAUAAUGGAAUAGGACUUUGGUUCUAUUUUGUUGGUUUCUUGAACCGAAGUAAUGAUUAAGAGGGACAGUUGGGGGCAUUCGUAUUUCGUUGUCAGAGGUGAAAUUCUUGGAUUUACGAAAGACGAACAACUGCGAAAGCAUUUGCCAAGAAUGUUUUCAUUAAUCAAGAACGAAAGUUAGAGGCUCGAAGACGAUCAGAUACCGUCCUAGUUCUAACCAUAAACGAUGCCGACUAGGGAUCAGCGGGCGUUAUUUUAUGACCCCGUUGGCACCUUAUGGGAAACCAAAGUUUUUGGGUUCCGGGGGAAGUAUGGUUGCAAAGCUGAAACUUAAAGGAA
rnacentral:rRNA from 1 species